rnacentral:rRNA from 1 species
GACCUCGGAUCAGGUAGGGAUACCCGCUGAACUUAAGCAUAUCAAUAAGCGGAGGAAAAGAAACCAACAGGGAUUGCCUCAGUAACGGCGAGUGAAGCGGCAACAGCUCAAAUUUGAAAUCUGGCUCUUCAAGGGUCCGAGUUGUAAUUUGUAGAAGAUGCUUUGGGUGUAGCUCCGGUCUAAGUUCCUUGGAACAGGACGUCAUAGAGGGUGAGAAUCCCGUAUGUGACUGGGUGCUUUCGCUCGUGUAAAGCUCUUUCGACGAGUCGAGUUGUUUGGGAAUGCAGCUCAAAAUGGGUGGUAAAUUUCAUCUAAAGCUAAAUAUUGGCCAGAGACCGAUAGCGCACAAGUAGAGUGAUCGAAAGAUGAAAAGCACUUUGGAAAGAGAGUUAAACAGUACGUGAAAUUGUUGAAAGGGAAGCGCUUGCAACCAG